rnacentral:misc_RNA from 1 species
ACAGUCCUUAGAGUGCUGGUGGCAAAAAUGAAAAAAUAGUCAACAAAUUUCCACACGUCUUUAAUAGAAAGGAAGCAAUUUUGUAGAUAAGAAUAACUUGAUCGGUAACCAAAAUAUUCUAGAGGAACCACAGCAAGAAUCAAGGUCCUCUACGUAAUAUCUCUAUCUUCAUCCCCAUUGCUAGUCAACAAACAUUAUCAUAACAUAUACCAACUUCCCAAUUCAAAAGUUUGCCCCAGGAUUUGGGUUUUAGUAAUUAUCAAUCAACUUCCUGGAACUUCCAGAUUCAAAAUCUCACAUGUUCUAUCUACCACCGGUACCAAAGACAAAGACGACAGCAAUUACCUGUUAGGUAGGGAAGGAAAACAUACACCAACCAACUCCCAAUGUGCGAUAUCUCUAGUCCA